GAGUUUGAUCCUGGCUCAGGAUGAACGCUGGCGGCGUGCUUAACACAUGCAAGUCGAACGAAGCACUUUAUUUGAUUUCCUUCGGGACUGAUUAUUUUGUGACUGAGUGGCGGACGGGUGAGUAACGCGUGGGUAACCUGCCUUGUACAGGGGGAUAACAGUCAGAAAUGACUGCUAAUACCGCAUAAGCGCACAGGACCGCAUGGUCCGGUGUGAAAAACUCCGGUGGUAUAAGAUGGACCCGCGUUGGAUUAGCUUGUUGGUGGGGUAACGGCCCACCAAGGCGACGAUCCAUAGCCGGCCUGAGAGGGUGAACGGCCACAUUGGGACUGAGACACGGCCCAAACUCCUACGGGAGGCAGCAGUGGGGAAUAUUGCACAAUGGGGGAAACCCUGAUGCAGCGACGCCGCGUGAGCGAAGAAGUAUCUCGGUAUGUAAACUUCUAUCAGCAGGGAAGAAAAUGACGGUACCUGACUAAGAAGCCCCGGCUAACUACGUGCCAGCCGCCGCGGUAAUAC
rnacentral:rRNA from 1 species